GCUGGGCGUGGUGGCACACGCCUGUGAUCUCAGCUACUCGGGAGGCUGAGGCAGGAGAAUCGCUUGAACCCAGGAGAUGGAGGUUGCAGUGAGCUGAGAUGUCGCUACUGCACUCCAGCCUGGGUGACAGAGUGAGACCCUGUCUCAA
rfam:Homo sapiens chromosome 17, GRCh38 reference primary assembly.